rnacentral:rRNA from 1 species
UACGUAGGGUGCGAGCGUUAAUCGGAAUUACUGGGCGUAAAGCGUGCGCAGGCGGUCUGUUAAGACCGAUGUGAAAUCCCCGGGCUUAACCUGGGAACUGCAUUGGUGACUGGCAGGCUUUGAGUGUGGCAGAGGGAGGUAGAAUUCCACGUGUAGCAGUGAAAUGCGUAGAGAUGUGGAGGAAUACCAAUGGCGAAGGCAGCCCCCUGGGAUAAUAUUGACGCUCAUGCACGAAAGCGUGGGGAGCAAACAGG